CUCCGCCGCGCUGCUGCUGCUGCUGCUGCUCCCCCUCCCCUCAGCCGCGAUGCUCCGAGCCGCCGCAGCAAGAGCAGCGGACUGGGGAGGGGUAGGGGGAGAACGCGCACCUGCUGCGCGGAUCCCUCCGCCGCGCGACGGCCGCGGCGGAGGGAUAUGUUGGUGCGGCUGGUCAAGAAUGCUGAUGCGCAGAGCCGGGGAGAUUGACGCCGCCGGCGGCAGCGGCUGCGCUGGGGGAUGCGGUGGCGGCGACUCAUGGCAGCUGCCUGCAAAGCACGGGAGUGGGGGCGCCCAUCCCCCCCGCGCGCUCGCCAGGGGGGGUCUGCCUGGCACGGCUCACACGACCCCUGAGCAGCCCGCCCAGCCUGCAGGGGCGUGGAGGAGAGUCACUGCGGCUGAUGGCUCGGAGCGCCCCCCUCCCCGGGCAGUGGUUUCCACUUUCCCCCUGCGCGGGGUGGUAGAUGGCGAGCCUGGCACCCGGGUUGCGAACGGGUGGCAAAGGAGGAGAGAAGAGCCUUUUUGUGGCACGGAUUGCGGUACUUGGGGGGUUGCUCUGAGGUCUCUCUCUGGGGGAGAGCUGAGCCUUGCCCGGGGGGCAGCAGGGAUCGGUGUGUCUUGCGUUAUCUUUGUUACCGGUCAGACCUUUCAGACUGGACAACAAACCUGCCUGGAAUCCCAAACAUGCUGCUUGGGAUUAUGGACCAGAUUCUUGUUUCAGCUGUUAACCUCGUGCGUAUGAGUAACCCAGUGGAUUUACAGCAGUGUAACAGCGCAUAAUUUAACCUCUAUAUUUAGUCAUUGAGGGAAAGUAGAUCAUUAUUAGUUAAACUGUGAAUGAAGUAAUUGCAAGCUCAAGACAGUUGCAGUGAUGAUCUCUGCCUAUUACGGAGUACACUGGUUUUAACAUAAAAUGUGGGGUUUGAAGUUCACCUAUCUCAACUUUUGCCUGUUAUCACAAAACCAAAGGAUGUGUGAGUGGAUUACAUGUAAGGAUGAUGAAAGCUAAAUUAUUACCUUUUUAUUUUGUUAUAUUUAUCUGAGGUUGCUUGUUUCUUAUCUUAGUCUUUUGGAAAACUCAACUCUUCAUCUAGGUGAGAUUUCAAAGAGUAUAUUUUAUGCCAUAAGAAACGUUGAGGAAACAUUUUAUUUGGAAACAUGCAUAUUAUAGAGUCGUGUACCCACUCCAGAGUUAAGGUUUCAACUGAGUUUGUAUUAUAAGCUCAAUUUUUGCUAUCACCCCCAAAAUAAAGGGACAUCCCCAAAUAAAGUAGUAGUCCCUUUACAAUUUAUAGGUUAGAUCUGGAGCAGAGGUACAAUUUUUUAAUCAAAUUUGAAGUGAAUUAGGCAAGAGGUUCCUGAAUUAAAGCUAUUUUAACUUGUCUCAGCUUAAAAAAAAAGUCUUGUCUGAUAUUCACCAAAGAUGCAUCUGCAUAGUGGUACCAGUGGUGUAAACUAGUGUACACCCCAUGCAGGUGUGCCCUCAUCUGGUGCCCAUGCUCUGUCUGCCCUAGAGUUUGCAGCAUUGGUAGCACUAGUGAAGCUGCAUUUUUACUGAAAAAUAGGUAAGAGGAAACGGGACCCCCCUCCCCAAAAAAAGGGCAGCUAAAAAUGUAGUUUACUAAACUAAUCUGUUUGAGGUCAAGUCACAGGACAAGAAAGAAGACAUCUCUAAUACUUUUUUGUGAGAUCUUACUUUGAGAGCGGGAGACAUAAAAGUAAGUUUAAUGGUUUCAUGUGUGACUUUUUGGGGAGAAAAGAUGCAUCCCUGCAGUGCUGCCCUUUAUAACCCCCCACAUGCCCACACCCACAUCUGCAAGCUCCUGUACCUCCUGUUGAUUUCCUAAGGAACUCACAUCUUGUGGAGAAAUGGGGAAGAGCAUGGAAGUGGAGGGAAGGUGUAACACUUGGGAAGGAAUGGGGGGAAGCAAGAAAGGGGGAAAAGAAGAAACUACUUAUGGACUAUAAACAGCAAGGAGUAUAAGACAAAGUUUAGAAUAGUAAAAAAAAAAAAAAAAACAAACCCAGAACUACAAGAGAUUGGACAGUUCAUUGGAAUUUGAAGUGAAUUUUGUUUGUUGCUGGGUGGUGGUUUUUUUACACUUAUUGCUGCAUUGUCAUCGCUUAAAGCACUUUCUAAAGGGUGCAUCCAAAAUGGAAGAAAGUUCAAAACUAAAAAGUCUCAUGCAUGAGAAUAAUAUACUAGAGGACCUGGUGGAAGGUUUGCAUAUUUCUUUGACCAAUGCAGUAGCCUUCUCAACAUAUGAUAUGACUGUGGAAUGCGGUAGGUUAUUGUCCUCCUCUCUGAUUUACUUCUACAAUAUAGUCUGUCUCAUAUUCAUCUUUUAAUAGUGUCCUUGGCAGUUUUUUCUCUUUCCUCUAAGAGUGGCAAUUACAAACAUGAACUGUGAUUUUGGUAUGCCUGUGUUCUCUCUAUGUAUUACCUUAACUCUUUCUUGUUAUUCUACACAUGCCAUGCUUUUUUUUUCCAGGUUGCUAAAUUAUGGGCAAAGGGUUGGUAGGAUGACUUCCUAGGAUCUGUGGAAUAUUAUUGAUACUUUUGGUAGAAAAGUGUGGAAGGCUGAGGACAACUUUAUCCUUGUGAAACAUGCAGCAUUGCUCUUCUAUGGAGAUGGUGCUCAGUUCUGCAGUUUUCCUAGAUGAGGUGAUGGAAACAGUGGGCAGCAGGCAGAGACAGAAACACAGCAACAGCUAAAGAGUGCCCAGCAAAGCAGACAGAAGCACAUAGUCAGCAAUCCACAGCCCCACCAAACAGACAGCAGAACCCAGGAGGGUGCCUGAGACACACAUCAUGGCUGAGCUGAAUCCUAAAGGACAUCUGAGCCCCAUCAAGCAGGAGUAACCAACUUUGCCAACAUAUUUGCCACUGAUUAGUGGAGUUAACUCAAGCAAAGGCAGAUUAAUCUCCUGUUGAUACAGUAAGAUUUAUGUGUUGACCGUAACCAUAUAUCAAAAUGGUGGGAUCCCCAUUUUGUUACACUAACAUCUGUUUUUAAUAUUUUCCCUUUGUGAUGUUAUAAAGGGCAAGUUCAGGUUCCUUCUGAGUUUCUGUUGGAGAAGCAGUUUCUUCACUGUGUUCCUGAAAAACUUCAGAAAUGUUGAGAUGGACUGAACAACUGUUUCAUCUGGUUUAGAUUUCUAAUUUUGAAGACUCGAGCUGUGGUGGCUGUGACGUCCAACAUGUCUCCUGUGGUAAAGCCACUAACAGACACUCCUCUCAUUUUGAUUUGGGAUAAGACUGCAUGGUAAAUCACUGUGUGGAGUUGCUAUGCUAACUCGUGGCAAAGGAAGUUUUGUUGGGUAAAGACUCCGUGGGUGUCGCCCUUUUGUUUGCUUUGGUCUUCUAUGGUGACUUUAGGCAAAUCACUCAAGCCCAAAGUUCCAAAAGUAUCUACUAAUUUUAAAUUUUUGGAUGCUCAACUGGAGACACAGGACCUGAUUUUUAAGAAUAUUAUGAAGCUAUUAAGCACAAAUGCAAUGCAUUGAGCAUCUCUCGAGCACUUGGAACAGAUCCUCUUCUGAGGUUCUCUUAUGGUCUCAUAUACCAAUUACCGUGGCUGGACUAUGCUUCAUCUCAUCUAGCAAAUGGACCAGAAGAUACUUACCUGACAUUUUCAAAGAGAGCCACAUAAUUCCCACUGACCACAGAAAGUUGAAAAUUUACUCUAAAUGUGGAGGAUACCUGAAUAUUGUAAAGCUUCAAUGACCAUGACACACAUGGAGUGUCUGACAGAAGGGACUAUGAGCUAGCCUGUCCCUGGAUUUAGUACAAGUGCCUAUAGGUUGGGGGGCACUAGUGAUGGGGGAGAACAUAAGGAGCAUUGUUCCCUCCUUGCUUCACACACCCUGCUGGUGAGCCAGGGACAAAUGCAGUCCCUGGCCUGUGGGAACCAGAGAGACAGCUCCCUCAGUGCAGCCAAUGAGCACAAAUUGUUCCUACAAGUACAACUUGCAUCUGCUUCGUCCUGGACAGUAGAGAUGAUCAUGUCUGCAUGUGAUUUGAGGAGCAAGAGGCACCAUCUGAAAGGACAGUGCAGAUUACACACUCCCCCUGCAUGCUGAGUAGCUGAAGACCGUAUUGUACCUCCUGAGCCUCGUUGCCACAUUCUGUGCGCUGUGGCUAGUGCCAUAAUCUAGCCCAGUGAAGAAGGCAUAGUAUUUAACAAAGAGAAGUCCUGCUGCACAACCCCACAUCCAGGGGUCCUGGAACAAUUUUUAUAAUGGGGGAGCUGAGAGCCGUGAACCAAACUGAAAACCCUGCAUAUAAGGGAAACCACUUUAAGCCAGGGGGUGUGACAUCUUAGGUGCUCUGUUAUACCACUGCUGCUAAGGGUCAUCUAACACUCUGUCAGGAGAGGGGACCAUUCUGAAAAGAGGAACUAAGGACAGGCACACUGCAAAAUAUAUUUGACCUGUCCUUAGCUUUGUAAACAUUUUGGCUAUAGGCAUGUCCACAACAUAUAUUUGGGAGCCAUCUAAUUUUGUUUUGUGAUCUUGGAACGACCAAUAAAAUAAAACAGAAGCUACUGUACGUAGAGUGCAAGAGGUGCUUUUU